CACCUCUUUCAUCUCCAUAGUUGACUUCACAGGCGGUAACAGGACUAUAAACCGCUAAAAGUGUAAAUCUUGAGUUUGAUCGAGCAUCAUGCUUGAUGUUCUGAAGCCUCACAAACUAGAUAUUGGAUACGUAACACGUUUUUCUUUCUCUUGUACUUGCUAUCGGUGACACUAGGGGUGAUGUGAUGUUUUGGAAUACCCAGCAAAUAGACAUGUACAUGAUGUCUACAGACCCAGAAGAUGCUCCAAAUCAAGCAGAGUUCAGCUAUUGUAGUGGGAAGGAAGAGCGCCUAUGUUUUCUCUAUACGGAAGACAUUUCAUCGUAUGCUGAUGCUGUUGGCUUUAUGGUCUUCAUUGAGGAUCGGAGCUAUGCUUCAGCAGGUUGUCUAAGUGCUACUUCCAAACAUUAGUGUUUUAAUUGUGUCUGUUUUAGUUUUAUUGUAUGCCUGUUUUAAUAUAAUGUGUUGUUAAAAUUGUAAUAUAUAAAUAACUAAAUUUCUGCUUUUUUUCCAAAGCAAUACUCGUUUCUCUUCUAA